GACGAACGCUGGCGGCGUGCUUAACACAUGCAAGUCGAACGGAAAGGCCCUGCUUUUGUGGGGUGCUCGAGUGGCGAGCGGGUGAGUAACACGUGAGUAACCUGCCCUUGACUUUGGGAUAACUUCAGGAAACUGGGGCUAAUACCGGAUAGGAGCUCCUGCUGCAUGGUGGGGGUUGGAAAGUUUCGGCGGUUGGGGAUGGGCUCGCGGCUUAUCAGCUUGUUGGUGGGGUAGUGGCUUACCAAGGCUUUGACGGGUAGCCGGCCUGAGAGGGUGACCGGCCACAUUGGGACUGAGAUACGGCCCAGACUCCUACGGGAGGCAGCAGUGGGGAAUAUUGCACAAUGGGCGGAAGCCUGAUGCAGCAACGCCGCGUGCGGGAUGACGGCCUUCGGGUUGUAAACCGCUUUCGCCUGUGACGAAGCGUGAGUGACGGUAAUGGGUAAAGAAGCACCGGCUAACUACGUG
rnacentral:rRNA from 1 species